rnacentral:lncRNA from 10 species
AGUUUUUACACAGAAUUUUCCUAGUUUGUGUCCUUCUGUGAGCUAAACUUUUCUCUCAUGUUUAGGCUGUAUCUCGUUUCUUCACUUUAAUAAUGUUGAAAAGUAUCUCUUCAGAAUAGAAGGAAAAUAUUGAACUGGCAUCAUAUGUCAGCUCAAGAGAAAAAUCACACAACAUAACAAUGUACUAAUAUCAUAAGCAUUAAUAUCAGGUUGGUG